GUGGGCACUCGCUCCUCCUCCAUAUCGUCGUCCAAUCCCUGGUGGAGGUACGUCUGAACGGGAAGGGGCGGGGCCCAGCUGUCGCUGUCAUACCUGCAACAUGAACUACAAUUACAGCCAGGCGCUGAAGCCCAUGAGGACGAUCCAGCAGGCCCCUCCCAGCCCAGCGAUGAAGGCUGGCUGCUUCACCACGUCUGAGAUGCUGUUGUUGCCCUCCGCCCCCGUCAUCACAUCACGCAGCUCUGCACCUGGGGACAGACAGGAGGGGACAGGGGACACCCAUCGGAUUGACAGCAUGGCAUCUGGUGGAUGGAUAGUGCUAUGUUGUCCACUAGACCUAAACCAGUCAACAGCUAACAUCUUUCAAAAUGGUUUAAAAUCAAUGUUUAUCAAUAGGUAAUAACAAAAUCUACUAUAUAAUCUAAAAACAAUAAACUCUGUACGAAAGGUACAAUCACGUUACAGUUAUUUUCUAGGUUUAAAACAAUACAACACCAUGAAACACUAUAGAUAAAUAAUAUCAAAUAAAAAAACACACCAUCGAAACCAUAAAAAAACUGCAAUAUGUAGGCAGAGUGUUCAUCAACUCAGCAGUGCUCUCAUCAAUUUGAGCUCCGAGACGGGAGAUUGACAGAGCAGCUCAGACAGAGUUUGAUUUUCUGCUGCAGCUACUGUGCUGUGAAAUUAGAUUCACAGUCUCCAGCUUGAGCAGGAGCCCCAGCCCCAGUCAUUAAGCCUCAGUCCACAGGCCUCUGUUUGCCUGUCUCUGGCCGUUGAGGAUAUUUCCCCCACACAUCAGUCAAAAGUCACGGAUGAAGAGCAUCUGGCCUGGUUCUGCUACUGAUUUUAGGCCUAUAUACUCAGCGCAUCCCUCAGCAGUUUGAUAAGAUGUGAUUGGAUGAUAAACCCACCCCAAUAACACUGUCUACCAUUUUUAGCGACAGCCACACAGAUAUCGAGGAUUAUUAUUAUGGCUAACAGCUCUCGACACACUGUUACUGGACACUACACUAAAUUAAACGCUAUUGAUUUCCUGAUAGAUCGCUAUGUAUGUAGCCAGCCUUACAGAAGUCACUGAACCCCUCGUUUCAAACCGUACACAUGUGAUCUCCGACAAUGCAGAAUUUAUUUUUUCCCAAGUGUGAUAAAUUGAUCAAUCAUUCUUCCAGACCGCCUGCCUGUGAAUCAGAUUAGGGUUCCCUGCUAUUAUGUGGGUUGCUUCAGACCCUGUGCCCUGUGUGUUUAUGUGUUACCUAUGAUAAUAGGCUGGGGCUCGCUCUUCACUCCCACCCCCGAGCUGGUGCCUGCCGCCACCUCCACACGGUACUGCACCCCCGCCUGCAGACCCCCCACCACCACCGAACGGAUAGCCGCAUCCACCGUCUUAUUCACAUGGAAAUGGGUCUCGUUUGCCAGGCACCAGAUCUAACACACACACACACACACAGGGACAGGGACAGGAAUUUGUGGUGAGAGACAGCGUAUUGGCACAGGUAAACAGUGUAAUAAAAUGCUUACUAGCAAGCUUUCUCAAUAGGGCAAUGUAGACAUUUCUUGUAAUAUUUAUACACAAUAAAAAUACAGUGAACCUG